UUAAUCCGAGUGAUUUGUGCUAAACGAAUCUUUUGUUAGUCUUAGAACCACUAACGAAUAAGGGGUGGGCAAGUUCUGGUGUCAGCCGCCGCGGUAAAACCAGCACCUCAAGUGGUCAGGAUGAUUAUUGGGCCUAAAGCAUCCGUAGCCGGCUCUGUAAGUUUUCGGUUAAAUCUGUACGCUCAACGUACAGGCUGCCGGGAAUACUGCAGAGCUAGGGAGUGGGAGAGGUAGACGGUACUCGGAAGGAAGGGGUAAAAUCCUUUGAUCUUUUGAUGACCACCUGUGGCGAAGGCGGUCUACCAGAACACGUCCGACGGUGAGGGAUGAAAGCUGGGGGAGCAAACCGGAUUAGAUACCCGGGUAGUCCCAGCUGUAAACUAUGCAAACUCAGUGAUGCAUUGACUUAUGGUCAAUGCAGUGCUGCAGGGAAGCCGUUAAGUUUGCCGCCUGGGAAGUACGUACGCAAGUA
rnacentral:rRNA from 1 species